rnacentral:sRNA from 1 species
GUGUCCUUUUUUUAAAAAAACCAGUCUACACUCUAAAAACAUGAUCUUAACCCUUCCUCUAUGAAAAUCUUUCUUACAGAUAAUGAUUUUAAAUGAUAUGAUUUGUUUUUUGCUUUUGCAUAAGAGGUAAUUAAAGAAAAAGGACUAGAACACGUUACUGUUGAUGACUUGGUGGCUGAAAUCACUCCAAAAGGCAGAGCCCUGGUACCUGACAGUGUAAAGAAGGAGCUCCUACAAAGAAUAAGAACAUUCCUUGCUCAGCAUGCCAGCCUUUAAGAUUGAAUUAGAUUGUGUUGUUGUGGUUUUAUUUCUGAAAGUAAAACUUGCCAUAAAUUAGAAAACAAUUUCCCAAAAUAAAAUCCUUUUUUGUAUGAUGGUAUACAGUUUUCAGUAAUGAUGUAUACAUUGUAUUGAUUUUUUUCCCUAAAUGUGUUAUUUUAAUAAAUAUCUCAUGAAUGAGUUUGAAGUUUGCUUGGAUUUUGAAAUGAAUGGGACUUUGUCUUUAUUACUAAUUCACCAAAUUUGUUGAGCGCAAAAGCAAUUAAUGUAGUUUAAGUAUUUAGUAUGUACAGUUCUCUGUGUUAACAGCUGGAAAGUAAGCAACCUUUUCUGACUGCAUAUGGUGUAUUCCUCUUUUGAGUCCCCAUAAUAUUUUAUAAAUUGUAAUGCCCCAUCUUGUACUACAGUUGUCUUAUUCGUAUUGUUUAUAAACUCUGAGGGUUAGGACUGGGUCUUACUCAUCUUUAUGUGCCUUCCUUAUGCUUCAAAGAAUUUACCAUCUAAUGGAAGAGAGAACAUUUGCAAGUUGGCUCCAUACCAAGCUCCUUCCACAUACUCUACUCAUCUGAACUUUGAAUGCAGAAUCUUUAAAUUGCAUCCCCACAUACUAAGGUCAAGAAAGAACUUAAUGGGAAGUAAUCUCCACCCAUUAGCUUUACCCUGACAUCAGGAUUGCCAAAUCCAAUGGACUCUUGUCUAUUCUUACGUGACUUCUGCUGGAAAAUGCGAAUGUUGACCAUCCUGCCACUUGGAACUCUCUUCCCACUCCUCACAUUGCUUUUCCUACCACUGGAAGUUCCUUCUGUUUCUUGUGGAGUACUUUUUGCUGUCUGGGACUUGUAGAUAAUGGUGUUUCCUAGGGCUCCCUCCAGGGCCCUCUGCCUCACUAACUGGAUAUACUUUUCCUGAGCAAAUCCCAGGAAACUUGCGUCAGACCGUGACUUCAAAUACAGGUUGAUAAAUGCUAAACUGUCUCCAAACCAGACUUCAUCCUAGCCUCCACACCCAGACACCCAACUGCUAUGGAUCAAGUCUUUAGAAUAUCCUCACUUCAAACUGACCUUACCUAAAAUAAUGACUUUUUCCCCCAAUAAUUGCCCCUGCUAUAUUCCUUAUUUCUGAAUGGUACCUCCUAGCUAUAUAGAUUAUCUGAGGAGCUUACUGAAAUGCUGAUUCUGAAGAUAAGGGGCAUGGCUUUAAGAGUCUGUAUUUCUGGCGAGUACCCAACUGGUGCUCAUGCUGCUGAUUGAGAACCACUUCUGAGUAUAGCAAGGCUGUAAAUAUCCACUACGUGCCCUCGUAAUUGUCUUAGUUCAAGCCCAGAUUAUUGUAGUAGACUUAGUAUUUCUUUGCCUUAGUUGAUCUGUGCCCCCUCCAAUAUCUAUUCCACACUGUUGCCUAAGUGGCCUUAGUAAAAUUCAAGUCUGGUUAUUUUAUUCCCCUGCUUGGAAUUUCUCAAUGUAAAAUGAAACUCAUUCAGCAUUAACACCUAGGCCCUUCUUGAUCUGACAUCGUGUUUCUCUAGUUAGACUAAAGAAUCCCCACUAUGAAGUUGUUUCAUCCCUAAGUACCUUUGAAAAUCUGUUAACCCAGAAGCCCCCUUUCUCAUAUGUUUCUCAUUCCUGUUUGCCCUUCAAAGUUCAGCUUUAGUUGCUAAAACAUUCAGACAUCCUUCUGACUUAGAUCCCCCACUACUGUUUUUCUAUAAGAAGCAGCUAUGCAUAAUUCCUCUUCAACACAGUAGUUCUUGAACUUUUGCAGGCCUCUCCUGGAGAGGAGGAAAUGACUUCUCUGACUUUGUAUGAUGCUUAUUUGUGGAUGAAUGGGCAAGGGAACAAAUGAAGGAACAAACAAGUGAAUGAACAGUAUGGGAGUAUGAGAAAAGGUAUAAAUUGGGUAUAGUUGAGAAAAGGAUUCAAAUUGAUCUUUGGUUCACUUCCAGAGGCAAUUUCAUCUUUCUGAUGAAUUUAAAGUGUAGUCUUUGAACCAGCUGGGCUUAAUUAUGUAAAGUUUUGAGCCUGAGAUAAGCACACAAUCACAAAACCUACCCGAACGAGUUUUUUGUUUCACUUCAUCUCAUAAAACAAUGUUCUAAAGUAAGUGAUAGGGAUGCUCAUCAUUCUGCUACCCAUUAUCACGAUGAAAACAAUCAUAAAUAGUACACAGGAAAGGUGAGAAAUAGCGGAUAGUUCUUAUUUCAUAGUACUGUAUAUGGAAAUAAACCAAAUUUGCUCAUAGAGAUACUAUUUUAUUACCUCAAAAAUAUAUAAAGAUGAAAACGUUAUGAAAAUAUUUUAAAAUGGGAUUUAAAAAUAACUGAAUUGAGAACAUCACAGCAAUUUAGAAUACUAAAGAGCAUAGCUUUAAAAUGAUAGUGCUGAGAACUCCCCACCUCUACCCCACCACCUAUAGGCUUCUUUGACAUCUUAUAAAUGUUCUCUAGUUUGUAUCUAGAAUCACUUAUAUCUUUCAAAUAAACCAACUUUGUGAA